GCCAGCGGAGCAGCGCGUGCUGUCGGUCUCCGGCCUGCAGGUGGCACAGUACUGCGUCCGGGCUCAGACCGUCCUGCAGGAUCAGAAUCGGAGCGACAGCACCAACGAGCAGUGCAUCUCCAUCACAGGCGCAGACGCCCCCUGGAGGAAACCCACGGCGGUGCUGCUGAGCGUCGUCUUCACGGCCGGUUUCCUGUUCGCUGUCUUCUGGUGCGUCGCUCACUGCCAUCCGGAUCGCUGCAAAACGUUUUUCCGUAAAGAGCCUCUGCCACACUCACUGAAACCUGAUUGGGUGAUUCAGAUCCCAAUUAGCCCCGAGGAUGCGGAGCUCUGUGAGCGGAUCCAGGUGGGCAGUGACUGCCCUUCCGAGGACCUCUGACCCUGAAGAGACACCUGCAGUCCAAAAUGCAGAUUCUUGGAUUUGGUGGAGAACGUUUUGAGUCUGUGGUGCAUUCAAAUCGUGUGGGAAAAAAGACAAUUGAGGGCUGGUUUUCGUUAGUGUUAGCUGUUGGCAGUUAGCAGUUAGCUGUUAGCAGUUAGCAGCGCCAGAUUCCAUAUCGUGCAACAUGCUGCGUUUAAGCCUUAUGUAGGAAAAAAGAGAAUUGGACAAAGCUGACCUGUACCGUUAUCAAGAUGUGUUAAAAUGUAGUCUUGUAAAAUGAAGUUUUUUAAAGGAAAUGUGAAAAAGUACAGUGUUUACAGUAGUCUUGUACUCGAGACCGGUCUUGGUCUAGAUCAGGGGUGUCCAAUUUACGACCCAGGGGCCAAACAUGGUCCGCGGCCCAUGUUGAAACGGCCUCCAGCUAAUUAAAAAAGUAUAAUGAAAUAUGGCCCACAAAUUAAACUUGUGCUUGUCAUAUAUCCUACUUCCGAUAUAUAUGUAAAAUAUUUUACACAGUGUUCAUGUGUUAAUAAUAAGCCCACUUUUCAAAUACAUUUAGUUAAUUAAAGUUGGAAACAUUUUCAAAUAAAUCUUAGUUGAUAAAAAAAAAGCCCAAUGCUAUUUACAUAACAAGCUUGAAAUCUACCCUUUAAAUGUCCUCUUUUUAUAAGCAAUCUGAAGCUUCUGUUUUCAGGAAUGAGCUACCAACAAAAUAAUGAAACCCGGCAUAAGGCAGUAUACCUCACCUCUAGUGAGCCAGCCCUUCGUAUAUUUUUCUGUAUGUGGCCCUCACUGAAAAAAGUUUGGACACCCCUGGUCUAGACCUCUGAAAGUCUUGACUUGGUCUUGGUCUUGGUCUUGGUCUUGGUCUUGGUCUUGUUACACUCCGGUCUUGCUCUUGACUUGGUCUUGGUUAAGGUGGUCUUGACUAGUUUACAGCAAUUAGAAAAUACAUAUCAGAGAGGGCAUUAUGACCUCAUUAACUUCCGAAUCAAUAUGCUUUCAGUAUUAUAUAAGGAGUGUAUGUUGAAGUAUGUAUUCUGGAUUUUAGACAUUUUGAUUUCAUGGGAGUACAUCCAAAAGUUUUCCAGAAGAUGCUGAUGAGCAUAUACAUUCAAAUCCUGUGCGAAAAAAUGGAAAGAAACAAAAGGAAAACUGCAUCAAAACAACAACUGAGGCCACAUCUACGAAGGAAUAUGAACUUUGCCAUGAUUUCUUUCUGUUAUUAGGCUUUCUGAAAGUCUGAUCAGGGACGUCCCAGGAUCCGUUACUGUGGUACCAAGUUGAUGCCAAAACUCUACAGACUAACUUCGUCCUGUUGCCCAGGGACAAUAGAAAAAACCCUAUUGUUCCUUAUGAUAACAACGUUAUUUUGUAUAUUGAAUGUUGUGCCUUUUUUUUAUGCCUCCUAAUGUGUGUUUUUGUAUUUAUUUGUGUAUGUUUGAUUAUGUAUGUGUGUAUGUACAUGUAUAUAUACACAAACUGUAUACUAUACUGUACAGUCUAAGGUUAAACCCUGCUUAAAUGGUACAACUACGCCGCCUGCUGUUGUAAAUGUCAGAUUAUGGGUUAACCCCAUAGCAACCGCAUAGCAACAGCAUAGCAACAGCAUAGCAACGGCAUAGCAACAGCAUAGCAACAACAUAGCAACCGCAUAGCAACCACACAGCAACCGCACAGCAACCGCACAGCAAAGGAGGACCUUCUGAGGUAAGGUGUCUCAAAUGUCUGUGGAUAAAAUAAUGUUUUACUUACUUGAGAAGCUCAUAAAAGUUAAGCUGGCUUCACUUGGUUGGAUAUUAACUGUUGAGGAAUAAAUUCACCAUGUUUUAGUUAAAUUGACUUUUCAUUUUAUGUGUUUUAUUCAUCGUAUAAACCUAAUUUAGCCAGCUAACAAGUUAACCUUAGCAUAAUGUUUUCAGACAGAGCAUGAGCUGUUUGUCCCACAUAUUAUUUAUAAAUAUUUAUUUAUUGAGAUUUUGGAAAAAAUUGAUUUGAGAUUUUCUGAAAU